rnacentral:rRNA from 1 species
GACGAGCGCUGGCGGCGUGCCUAAUACAUGCAAGUUGAGCGCUGAAGGUUGGUACUUGUACCCACUGGAUGAGCAGCGAACGGGUGAGUAACGCGUGGGUAAUCUGCCUUUGAGCGGGGGACAACAUUUGGAAACGAAUGCUAAUACCGCAUAAAAACUUUAAACACAAGUUUUAAGUUUGAAAGAUGCAAUUGCAUCACUCAAAGAUGAUCCCGCGUUUUGUUAGUUAGUUGGUGAGGUAAAGGCCCACCAAGGCGAAGAUACCUAGCCGACCUGAGUGGGUGGACGGCCACAUUGGGAAUGGGAAACGGCCCAAACCCCUACGGGAGGCAGCAGUAGGGAAUCUUCGGACAUGGACGAAAGUCUGACCGAGCAACGCCGCGGGAGUGAAGAAGGGUUUCGGAUCGUAAAAGUCUGUUGGUAGGGAAGAAAGUUGGGGAGGGUGGAAAGCUCAUCAAGUGACGGUAACUACACAGAAAGGGACGGCUAACUACGUG